CUUGCCUGGGGUGUAGGAAGCGCAGUGGAAAGGGCUCUGGUUAGGCUUGGCUUUCUGGAAACAACCAGCUUAGGUCCUCUGGCAAGUCUUGGGAUCUUUUCUUUGGAGACUCAUAUUCUGGUCCAAUCUACUUUGUUUACAGAGAAAGAAACUGAGCACAAGGAAUUUGUCCAAGGUCAUAUAGAGAUGUAGUGGCAAAGCUGGAACUAGAGUCCGUUCUUGUCAGGGGAAAAAGAGGGCCUUGUGUCUCAGGCAGAUUGUUGAAGUCCCACAAUAUCUCUUCUCCAUCCCACUGUACCUGGAUAGUAGGUUAACCCGUACACCAAAUAACUGUCUAUAUUAGACGCCUCCAACCAGUUUCUGGCUGCCUGUCUUUGCUGCCAUGUUUUUUACAAGACGGAAAGAAACAAUUCUUGCUAUUUUUUUUCAUAAUUUACUAUUUAUGAUGUAUUUAAAUGUUUUAUUCAGGACAGAGUUCUGUAAGGGGUGGGAGGGGAUAUUUGAGGGAGGGCUGGGUCUUAGGGAAAGGAAUAGGGAACUCAUCGUUUUUAUGAAGUGUUACUAUUUGCCUCUACUUUGUAUUGUUCAGAAAUGGCAAAAUGUGAUGAUAAUAAAUAUCAUUUUAAUGUAUUAAACUUUCAUCACUUAAAAAAAAAAAAA
rnacentral:lncRNA from 1 species